rnacentral:tRNA from 1 species
GGGCGCUUGGUCUAGGGGUAUGAUACUCGCUUCGCAUCGUCUGCGUGCUGGAUUUGUGAGUGGUCGUGGGUUCAAUUCCCACAGCGUCCA